CUACACCCGCUUCACCCGCUUAACGACACGAAUCAGCGUCCUCCGCGCAGGGACCCGGAGCUGGCUGGAGGCGUCCGCAGAAGACCCGCGCCGGGGCCGAGGGCCGCGUGGGGGCCGCAGACUUGCAGGGAGCGCAGCCCCAGGCAGCAGACUGUGGCUUCCAGAACCGACUGUGCCCGAGGAUAAGGCCUGAACUUCAACAACCUGCAAGUGGGUUGAGCAACCCGUUUCACCGUUGAGGAGACAGAGCGCUGGCCCAGCCUGGACCCGGAGCUGAGGUUCCUGUUUCCUGGCUCACCUGGAGGCUCCUGCAGUUGGCCAGAUGAGACCCUGACGUGGAAACAAAUCUCUCGGGCACAGGCACACUUCAGGGCUUUAAAGAGGUGCAUUCACCUGUUGAAGAUGGUGGUCCAGGCAGGAAAAGAGCAGGGGCUGCUGCUGACUUGUUCCCCAGGAGCACAGGAGAGGAGGCUUCGAGACCCACAUGUGUCCUGUGGCUGCUCCACCCACACCGGGGUCUGACCCCAGCGGAUCAGCAGAGAGAGCGGCCCAGAGCAGGAGGCCCAGCCCAGGGCAGCUGGGGUCUGCAGGGCUCCCCUCCAGAGGCCGCACCUCAGACCUUGGCAGCAGCCCCCAGCUCUGUGGAUCCUCCAGGAGAUUUUCCCAAGCUCCAGCCCCAACCCUUUAAUUCACACUGGGAAGAGCCUCAAAGAACCCGGCAGGGACGGAGCUCCCCCGACCCUCUGGGCAAAGAUCAACUUGGUUAAAAGGGCCUCCAGCUGAAACCCAUCUCCUGGGGAAAUGUAUUAAAACAGAAACUCUGC
rnacentral:lncRNA from 1 species